rnacentral:rRNA from 1 species
UACCUGGUUGAUCCUGCCAGUAGUCAUAUGCUUGUCUCAAAGAUUAAGCCAUGCAUGUCUAAGUAUAAGCUUUUAUACGGCGAAACUGCGAAUGGCUCAUUAAAACAGUUAUAGUUUAUUUGAUGGUCAUUUACUACUUGGAUACCCGUGGUAAUUCUAGAGCUAAUACAUGCGCACAAGCCCCACUUAUUGGACGGGCUGCGUUUAUUAGAUACAGAACCAACCUGAGCUCCGCUUAGUUCAUGGUGACUCAUGAUAACCCUGCGAAUCGCAUGGCAUCAGCCGGCGAUGGAUCAUUCAAGUUUCUGACCUAUCAGCUGUGGACGGUAGGGUAUUGGCCUACCGUGGCAUUGACGGGUAACGGAGAAUUAGGGUUCGAUUCCGGAGAGGGAGCCUGAGAAACGGCUACCACAUCUAAGGAAGGCAGCAGGCGCGCAAAUUACCCAAUCCUGACAUAGGGAGGUAGUGACAAGAAAUAACAAUACAGGGCAUUUACGUCUUGUAAUUGGAAUGAGUAGAAUUUAAAUCCCUUUACGAGUAUCAAUUGGAGGGCAAGUCUGGCGCCAGCAGCCGCGGUAAUUCCAGCUCCAAUAGC